UUUUUUUUUUUUUUUUUUUUUGAGACGGAGUCUCGCUCUGUCGCCCGGGCUGGAGUGCAGUGGCCUGAUCUCAGCUCACUGCAAGCUCCGCCUCCCAGGUUUAUGCCAUUCUCCUGCCUCAGCCUCCCAAGUAGCUGGGACUACAGGCGCCUGCCACCUCGCCCGGCUAGUUUUUGGUUUUUCUUGUAUUUUUUAGUAGAGACAGGGUUUCACCGUGUUAGCCAGGAUGGUCUCAAUCUCCUGACCUCGUGAUCCGCCCGUCUCAGCCUCCCAAAGUGCUGGGAUUACAGACACCCAGCUAAUUUUUAAAUUUCUUGUGCACACAGGGUUUCUCCAUGUUGUCCAGGCUGGUCUCGAACUCCUGGACUCAAGUGAUCCUCCUGCCUUGGACUCCCAGAGUGCUAGGAUUACAGGCCUGAGCCACUGUGCCCGGCCUGGACACCCCAUUUUUAUAGAUGCGGGUUACACUAAGGUCUUUCAACUUCCACCACGCUCUUUUGCCUGAUUUUUGGUAAACACUGGAUGAGUGACAACUGGGAUUUUUCUGAAUACUUGAUAGAAACACUACUGUGAGUAGGAAUGGUAAAUAUCCAUUUGAAAGAUAAAAUAUUUAAUAGCACAGAAGGAAUUUUUGAGAAAGCAGCAGUGGACGCUCCUUAAUUAGAAUUUUUUCAGAUGUGUUCAGUUUGAAUUUUGGCACUUAUCAAUAAGAGGCUCAUUUCCCACUAAAGCUCACUCAUGUGUUCCGACUGUCGUUAAAUAGCGAACAGUCAAGGAUGCUGUGUCUGCAGACACAGACUCGUCUGUCACCACAGAGAUGCUGUUUGGCUUGGAGAACAACAGGACCCAGGGAAAGCUGUUUUCUUCUCUGCAGCUCACUUCAUGAUCAACACGAAAACCUGAGCUUGCUAACAUGGCCCCCGAUUUAGUGUCUUCUGUACCUCCUUGCCACAUUCUCUCCACUUCUGAGAAUUUCAAUAUCCCACUGCUUCUGGCUUUCACCUAGAUCAGUAACGUCCAGAACUCUGAAAAGAAGUAACUCAGUCUGGUGUCUGCCCAGAAAUACUAGCUACCAGAUCCACCGUGGAGUUCGGCAAAGCACCAUAAUCAACAACCUAGCUAUCUAAAGCAAAGAGGCAAUGACCACGCUCGCCUAAUAAUUAGGUAUACUGGAUGUCUUUCUGGCGUUGUUCCCCAGAGUCCAUUUUCUUUAUCAAACUGUCUGGGGAAAACAGUCUGUGCUGGCUCCCAAGUUCCAUUAAAUGUGUGCAGCUCCCAUGAGAUGAUAAUUGUGUUCCUGGCAGUGGCACAUACAGGGGAGACCUGCAGAAGGGGCUAGGGGUGACAGCAUUAGUCCGCUUCUCAGUGCUGCUUCGGGACAGAUGGCAGGCACGCAAGUACAGACCGCAUUCAGCUCAUCAUUAAGGCCUUGCGAGAUCACAGCCCGGUGGUGAAAAGAAGGCGUCCUUCUCCAGGCCCACUGCGGAGGCUGGGAAGCCCUUUCUAGAAUACCCAUGGGCAGUGGCUAUUUCUCCAGCCUGGGACUCUGCAGCCAUAGUCCCAGGAAGGAGAGGAAGGAAGAAUAUAAGAAACUAAGGGAAUUGCCCUAGUAAGGAAAACCACUGAAGGGAUCUUUUGGGUCAAGACGUGGAAAUCUAGAACGGUCUUAUCUAAAAUGUAGGAUGUUAGGUAAAUUUAACUUUCAUAAGAGCCUGACAUAUACUCAAUGGAUCACUGCACCAAACUUACGUUCCUGUAACUCCCCCACACUAAAAGAGGGAAGAAGAGGGAGUAAGGAGGAGGAACAGAGAAAUAAUGCCACUAUCCCUGGGCCUUGGUACAUCUUAGAUAUUUUCAUUCUCAUUCAACCAAUAAAUAAGAGCAAGAACG
rnacentral:lncRNA from 1 species